GCCGUCACGGAUGCACGUCGGUGUGUGUAGUUUUCAUAUCUAUGAUUAGAACUGCUACACACACAUUUCCAGCUGCGUUAACGCUAAUGAGCAGUGGAAAGCAAAGACCACCAGGGGGUAGUGCGCCUCUGCCCCUCUUGCCUCCCCUAACCGCACGUCACUGGGUAAGGGUGUCCAUACGUGCACUUGGCACCAGGACACCCUAGGUCGCAGUUCGAUGAUCGACUUUGUGGUCGUGUCAUCGGACUUGCGGCCGCAUGUCUUGGACACUCGGGUGAAGAGAGGGGCGGAGCUGUCAACUGAUCACCUCCUGGUGGCUCUGAUGGUGGGCGAAGAUUCCGGUCCGACCUGGCAGGCCCAACCGUAUCGCGAGUGUCUGCUGGGAACGUCUGGCAGAAUCCCCUGUCAGAAGGAGUUUCAACUUCCACCUCCGGCAGAACUUCACACACGUCCUGGGGGAGGCGGGGGACAUUGAGUCCGAGUGGACCAUGUUCCGUGCCUCCAUUGCUGAGGUGGCCGAGCACAACUGUGGCCGUAAGGUGGUUGGUGCCUGUCGUGGCGGCAAUCCCCGAACCUGUUGGUGGACACCAAACGGUGAGGGAUGCCGUCAAGCUGAAGAAGGAGUCCUAUCGGGCCUUUUUGGCCUGUGGGACUCCUGAGCCAGCUGAUGGGUACCGGCUGGCCAAGCGGAAUGCGGCUUUGGUCGUUGCUGAGGCAAAAACUCGGGCGUGAGAAGAGUUCGGUGAGGCAAUGGAAAUUCGAGGAAAUUCUGGUCCACCAUCCAGUGUCUCAGGAGGGGGAAGCAGUACAUCAUCAACACUGUGUACAGUGGGGAUGGGGCGCUGCUGACCUCGAGUCAGGACGUUGUGAGUCGGUGGGGACAAUACUUUGAAGACCUCCUCAAUUCCACCGACACCCCUUCCCAUGAGGAAACAGAGUGUGGGUUCUCUGAUGCGGGCUCUCCUAUCUCUGGGUUUGAGGUCACCAAGGUGGUUAAAAAGCUCCUUGGUGGCAAGGCCCCGGGGGUAGAUGAGAUUCGCCCGGAGUUCCUAAAGGCUCUGGAUGUUUUGGGGCUGUCCUGGUUGACACGCUUCUGCAACAUCGCGUGGACAUCGGGGACAGUGCCUCUGGAUUGGCAGAUUCGGGUGGUGGUCCCCGUUUUUAAGAAGGGGGACCGGAGAGUGUGUUCCAACAACAGGGGCAUCACACCCCUCAGCCUCCCUGGAAAGGUCUAUUCUGGGGUGGUGGAGAGGAAAGUCAGUCGGGAAGUCAAAUCUCAGAUUCAGGAGGAGCAGUGGCCGUGGAACAAUGGACCAGCUCUUCACCCUCGGCAGGGUCCUUGAGGGUGCGAACGCCCAAACAGUCUACUUGGAGAAGGCGUUCGACCAUGUCCCUCAGGGAGUCCUGUGUGUGUGUGUGUGUGUGGGGGGGGGGGGGGGUGCUUCGGGAGUAUGGGGUACCAAACCUCCUGAUACGGGCUGUUCGGUGCCUGUACGACCGGUGUCAGAGUUCGGUCCAGUGAGGGAAGAAUGGAACGGAAGAUCGACAGGCGGAUUGGUGCAGCGUCUGCAGUGAUGCGGACUUUGUAUCGGUCCGUUGUGGUAAAGAAGGAGCUAAGCCGAAAGGCGAAGCUCUCGAUUUACUGGUCGAUCUACGUUCCUACCCUCACCUAUGGUCACGAGCUGUGGGUCGUGACUGAAAGAACAAGUUCCCGGAUACAAGCGGCCGAAAUGAGUUUCCUCCGCAGGGUGUCCGGGCUCUCCCUUAGAGAAAGGGUGAGAUGCAUGGUCAUCCGGGAGGGGCUCAGAGUAGAGCCGCUGCUCCUCCGCAUUGAGAGGAGCCAGAUGAGGUGGCUGGGGCAUCUGAUUCGGAUGCCUCCCGGACGCCUCCCUGGUGAGGUGUUCCGGGCACGUCCCACCGGGAGGAGACCCCGGGGACGACCCAGGACACGCUGGAGAGACUACGUCCUUCGGCUGGCCUGGGAACGCCUCGGGAUCCCCCCGGAAGAGCUGGAUGAAGUGGCUGGGGAGAGGGAAGUCUGGGCGUCCCUGCUAAAGCUACUGCCCCCGCGACCCGACCCAGAUAAGCGGUAGAAAAUGGAUGGAUGGAUAUAUAUAUAUAUAUAUAGUAUGGUGUAUUCAAAGCCAUUUUGUCUGCCAAUUGAAAGAAAAAUGCAUCCAAACUAAUCGGGAGAAGCCGACACAACAAAGGUCUUCAUCGGGGGGGAAGAAGUGGAAGGUCUUAGACUGGCCAAGUCAAUCACCGUACCUUAACCCAAUAGAGCAUGCAUUUGACCUAUUUACGUAUUUCGCUGUAUAUUUCACUGUCUGCACGUCCCACCGCGAGAAGACCCCCGGGGACGACCCAGAACACGCUGGAGAGACUACAUCCUUCGGCUGGCCUGGGAACGCCUCGGGAUCCCCCCGGAAGAGCUGGAAGAAGUGGCUGGGGAGAGGGAAGUCUGGGCAUCCCUGCUAAAGAUACUGCCCCCGCGACCCAACCUCGGAUAAGCGGUAGAAAAUGGAUGGAUGGAUGUAUUGUAUUUGAUGUAUUGCUAAAUAAAGAUUGUUUAAAAAAUGAA